rnacentral:rRNA from 1 species
GACUGAGCCCAGCCAU